CUCCUCUAUAAAUAAAGGGGCAUAAAGACCCUCAAAGUAAGUUCUCCACUCUCACUCUCUCUAUUUUAUUGUUCUAUAUUUUCUGACUUGAGCAUCGGUGGGUCUUUACCAGAGAACACUCUGGUGGAAACUUUUUACAGGUUCUUGGAUGGAGCUUCAGCAGUAGUAGUGCCUCAACCACCUCCACCUCAACUGUUCUACCUCAGGCGCG
rnacentral:lncRNA from 1 species